rnacentral:lncRNA from 1 species
GGGGGGGGGUUUUGUAGCACAACAAUGAAACAAUGCCCUACACACGUAUCUACAUAAAGGUGAACGAAUUAGAUAAUAAUGGCCAUCUGACGAUUUUUAUCCUUGAUGUCGUGAAAAAAUGAAACUGAAAAUUUUAUUCCGUUGUUCACUUUACAUUAUAUUAUUGAUUUCCACACAAGUAGAACGUUAACAGAAAAACAAGUUAAAAUUUAAUAUUUGGUUUGCACAUGACAAGGACGAUUGAGUUGUCUUUCUUUGACCAUACACAUAGUUGUUACUGCUGGUUAAUUCCCUUGUCCGGUCACCUCAAUUUUGCAAUUAUUUUAACUAUUAUAGAUUGUAUAUGCCGUUAAACGCUUUUACCAACCACCUCUCAGAUGUUUCGUUUCAAAUUUCCUGUCAAUCUUUCGAACACCGGGUAUUUAGGAUUUUUUUUGAGGAGAUACUUGAACUUAUGUCAUUUUGAUACACCACAUUGGAUAAAAAAAUAUCUGUUUAUGCUAGUACCAAAGUUACUUAUAAAAAUGAUUUUAUUCCAAUUCUUGCACCAACAGAGGAAACAGAUGCAUAUCUUGUGAAAUCUACCAAUCAUAGAGGAGUUGUUUCUUAAAAGGGCAAAUAAAACAAAACAAAUGAAUAUUUAAGAAUGAAAGUAAAUUGUAGUGAAACCCAUUGUCAGUUUGAUUUUAAAACGUCUAUUUAAUAAAAGGGUAAUGAAUAUAAAAUGAAAGAUAUGUCAUGCAUACAACUAUGAAAAUACAAAUAAUUUAAUCAUAUGUAAAGUAUGAGCGACAAAAACGUAACUAAUGGAUUUAUAAGAAAUAAAAAAAAACAACAUUAUAAACAUAGAAGAAGGCAACUAUGGCAAAUUUCAUUCCUCUGCUUAAUUCGGAAUUUUUUAGAUUAUUAAUUUUUUUUAGAAAAUUUUUUACAAAACAGUUAUCAUUUGCAUUUACCAAUUCUUGCUUAUGAAUGAAUUUCUAUCUAUGUGAUACAUUGUCUUUUGUUUAUGAUCAUUGAAUCUUAAGAAAUAUCAUGACCAAAAUGAUGACCAAACUUCAUUACGGAUUCGUUCAACUGAUCAUGUGAUCAAUAAAACUCUAACGGAAUCUGUUCAACUGAUCUCUUAAACUAUUACCAAAUUCUACUAUAAUUGAAACAUUUUUCUUGAAAUGACUACAAAUAAAGUCAUCUUAUUUUCACUCAUACAUUUUUUCGCAUUUAGUCCUAUUACUUUGCGAAUUUCGCAGCAAUUUAUUAAGGUAUAAUUCUUACUUUCUUUGCAAAACUACAGAAAUGAAGGCACUAUUUUAGCAUA